rnacentral:rRNA from 1 species
AACGAACGCUGGCGGCAGGCUUAACACAUGCAAGUCGAACGGACGUAGCAAUACGUUAGUGGCAGACGGGUGAGUAACGCGUGGGAAUAUGCCCUUUAGUUCGGAAUAACUCAGGGAAACUUGAGCUAAUACCGGAUAAUCCCGAGAGGGGAAAGAUUUAUCGCUGAAGGAGUAGCCCGCGUCUGAUUAGCUAGUUGGUGAGGUAAUGGCGCACCAAGGCGACGAUCAGUAGCUGGUCUGAGAGGAUGAUCAGCCACACUGGGACUGGGACACGGCCCGGACUCCUACGGGAGGCAGCAGUGGGGAAUAUUGGACAAUGGGGGCAACCCUGAUCCAGCCAUGCCGCGUGAGUGAUGAAGGCCUUAGGGUUGUAAAACUCUUUUGUCCGGGAAGAUAAUGACUGUACCGGAAGAAUAAGCCCCGGCUAACUUCGUGCCAGCCGCCGCCGUAA